rnacentral:rRNA from 1 species
UAGAGUACUGGAGAGGUAAGCGGAACUACAAGUGUAGAGGUGAAAUUCGUAGAUAUUUGUAGGAAUGCCGAUGGGGAAGCCAGCUUACUGGACAGAUACUGACGGUAAAGCGCGAAAGCGUGGGUAGCAAACAGGAUUAGAUACCCUGGUAGUCCACGCUGUAAACGAUGAUUACUAGGUGUUGGGGGUCGAACCUCAGCGCCCAAGCAAACGCGAUAAGUAAUCCGCCUGGG